GUCGCCGUUCUGCAGUGUCUGCACCCGGCCGCUUAAUGAGAUUUAUUCACGCUCGGCUCUGCUCAUCUUUGCCAGGGGUUGGCAGAUCCAGUGCACAGGGAUUUCCCACCGCGGUGUUUUUCUCCCGCCCCUGUGCUUCCCUCUCGCCGUAGCAUAUCCUUCCUUGGUUUCCUCCCGGGGCCUGCAGGCUGCGUCCCGGGCGCGCGCCUGGACAUGUAAGGACUUGUCAGUUCCCAGUGACCUCCCUCCUCCCCUCCUUUCCCCGGCGGAAUGUAGGAUUGAGAGCCCUUCAGCGAAAUUUUCGGCCAAAGAUAAGGCCCGUGAAAGUCACCGCCAUCAGAUGUGGACUCCCAGUGUUAUUCAUUAAUGGUUUGUGUGAGGGUUUACUAGCCUAAGGCCAGAAAGCAAAAGGGAAGGACCGUUAGACAAAACAACUUCAUCCAAAAAGGAGGGGGUAAAAAACAGGGUAGUAGGCGAUGCAGCUGAGUUGUCCAUAAUAUUGGAACCGUUAGGUUUUUUGUCUGACUUGGGCACUAACACUGGGCGUGACCUUGGACAAAUUGUUUUUUUUUUUCGGGGCCUCUGUUUGCUCAUCUGUGAAACGAGAGUUUUCACGUAAAAAUUUAUAAGAGUUUCUUCCCAGCAAAAUUAUUUAAGCAGUAGACGGCAGAAACCGUGUUUCCAAGUUUGAAAUAUGCCACUGAAUUAGGACUUUUGACAGUCAUUUUCAGUCUACCCAAAUUAGAGAUCAUUCUUUCAUACAUGUAUUUCCAGGUGUAUUUUAAUGGUUAGUAGGUUGCUAUAUAUUUGAAGUGUUGUGAGAGAUCCUCAUUUGGAAAUACUGUGGUUCUCAAAGUAGGAAAACCAGAAGGCUCAAAGGGACAGAGCACUGAUAAGCUGUCUAUAAAUUCCAUGACAUACAAUGCUAAUAAGAAUCUGCUCCAGGGAAUUCGAGACUGAUUACCACAUCAAAUUAGCCUGCGUUUUCAACCUGAGAGCAUGAUUAUAAACAUAGGUAGCAAGAUUUCUACUAAUAUACAGAAAAUUACCUAGUAUUUUAAAAAGAGGCAAAAUCUCUUAAGUUGAUUUUAAGUUUUAGAAGGCAAUGGAAGUGAUUUUAAAAAAGGACUACCAUACAAAAUGCACUUUCUGGAAAAAUACCUUGUACAAACUGAAUAUCAAAUGCACAGUACCAGUGAUUCUCACAGUAUUCUAUGCCACUAGAGUGUUCUUUAAAAUUUAAUAUUUGAAAAAAGAUUUAAUAGUUUGGCCCUUACUAAAUCACAUUUUUGAGGGAUGGGACCUGGGAAUCUGUAUUGUUAGCAACUCCACCCACCACUGUCAUGGUUCUUCGGUAAUACAAAAUCAUGAGUGCCUGUACUAUAUUACAAUCUAGUAAAUCCAUAAUAUUUAUACUAUUCCUAACUAGAAAAAGGUAAAAGUGUUCUUGCCUGGGAAAUCCCAUUGACAGAGGAACCUGGUGAGCUACAAUCCAUGGGUCACAAGAGUUGAACACAAUUUAGUGACUAAACAAUUACCAACCAUCAAAUUCACAGAUUAGCUAUUUCUAGAAAAUGUUUUCUUUCCUCCUACCUCUUAAAUCAACAUUUACUUUAAGAAAAGGCAGUUGGAACCACCAUUCAGAUCCUUCUAGAACUCCAAAGAAGGAAAAGUUCACUCUUGAAGAGAAACAUUUGCAGCAUGAAAUUAGGAUAUUGUGUCCAGUUGCAUGUAAUUAAAUUAAUGCUCAGAUUGAAAACCUGACAAUACUCCCCUAAUUAAUCACUGUCAAAUGUGUUUUGUCAAUAUAUUCUUCAGAGGUGAGAAAGAGCUCUGGACUCUUAAGUUAGAGAAUGAAAAACCAUCAUUUGCUAGGUAAAUGAGUUUGGAAAGAUAACUGUUUUGGGGGGUUUCUUUCCUCAUCUAUUAAAUGGAGAGUAAUUCCUGUUUUAACUUUUAUGGGAUAUUAUGAGAUAAUGUAUGUGAAAGUACCAUCAUAAACUUUGACAUCCAGGCAUUUAACUCGUCUGAAAACAGUAAAAUCAUUUGGAACUCUUACCGACAUACAAUAUGAGAAAUGCCAAAAUUGAACGCUAUACUCAAUAACCUUAGAGCAUCUAUUUGAGGAGUUGUUACUGUUAAGUGACUGUUUGCCAAGUGAUUUGAGAUAUAGUGAGAAAGCAGACACGGUUCCUGCUCUUAGAGAUUUUACAGUCUAGCAUCAUAGAAAUGUAUUAUAGUCAUAUCAAUCAACAUUGGAUCAUCUCUUCUAGUUCACUGACCUAUGCUCAUCAUGUCAUGCCUUUAGUAAAAGCCUGCUCAGCCGUUUAUACCAAUACUGUUCAAUGUCUAUUAGCAUCCGCCUCUUAGCAGUUUAUAAUCUAGAACAGAAAACAAUGGAUACCAUAAUUUUUUGGCAGAUAUUAUAAGACGGCUUACUCAACACUUAUCCAACCCCCUUCUAGCUUGCUUUUCUGUACUUUAGAAGUUAGAAAAUUUUAAAAUACUGUUUCAACACUGCCUUGCAACUGGAGUACUGGCAUGGAUGAGUGGUGUGCUGGUAAGUCAUUAAGGAUGGCUGGAGGAGGGGAAAGACCCUGAUUUCUAGUACUGACCAAUUUUCAUUGUGUGAAUACUCCCAAGCUAUCAAAUUGGUUUCACUGAAUGGGGAGUUAGUUGGAGAAGAAGCUGACGAUUACCAGCUAGCUUCAGCCUUUCACUCCAUGCGACCUAGUUUCCAGCAAUCAAAUGCGCCCAUUCAAGACACAGACCUGAAAAUGAGCAACACAGUGCCUCUACUGCACUCAGGGCAGUGGGAUUUUCUGGCAAACACCAUGGCAGAGGUGUCUGAUUCUUGAGUGCCUGGGGAGGAGUUCUGGCAUUUUGGGAGUCUUAGGUGCUGACUGGCAAGUGGUGCCAUGGUGGGUUUCUGCUAGAAUAGCAAUGUGAUGUGGGAUGAAUGUUCUUCCUGGUGCGGUUUUUUUCUGGAUGUUGUUUCUAGCGAUGUAUUAUCCAAGCCUGAUUGUCUGGUCCUCUCAGAGAUGUAUGAGCUAAGUAGUAUCCUUUAAUCCCUUUCUGCUUAAACUAGCUCAGUCACAGUCAGCUACACAGUUUGUUGAGCCCAGAGCAAAAUGAAAAAUGUAGGGCCCCUGUUCACAAAGCAGGAAAAAAAUUGCCAUUACAUGUACUGAAAUAUUAGGCUUUUUCUUUCUUUUGUCAUGCUGUUUUUUUUUAAUUUAUGUUUUAAUGUUAUUCUGAGUAUAGAAAAAUUAGAAUUUUAGAUUAUUAGCAUGAAUUUUACCAUUUAUCUUUAAUUGUGCAGUGCCAUUUAUAGAUGCAAAUAGAAGAGCGUUUAACUCAUACACGAAAUCACCAAAACUACACAGUUCAUGUUUUGUAGUUUAUACAUGCCACAAGGAUGUAUUUUGUGCUUUUCAAGCAGUGUAAAUACUGCAUACAACCAACUGAGCUAUUUCUUUCCCUUCUUGGUAUGAGCACAGCCUAUCAACCUGAGUAAGGAAGGACUGAACUGAAAGGAACUAUGGGUUGCCCUACCUAUCCCCUUCCUUCUGUGUCAUCAUUUUCAGUGAAAAUAGUCAUACAGGAAAGUAACACACAACAAGAAAGGAUACGAUAGAGUUACUUGGUCACUUGUGUGUCUUAGGAUGCUACUGUCUUCUUUCUAUACCUGACACAAGUUCUGGUUGAAAUGGAAAGCAUUGCCUCUUAGAACUGUCAGUGCCUCCACUAAAUCAGUCACUGAUGUAACAUGCUUGCCUUGUAGCCACUUUGUAACUCUCUGAGUUCCUGUACUGCUUAGGUUCAUCAUAAUCCUUGGGAGGCAUUAUACUGAUGUAUGCAAACUGGGUAUUAAGGGAAAAGACAAAGAGGUUGCCUCCUCUCCUUGCCUGUAUGAUCCAUUGUACCACUGACUUCUUUUGUAAAACAGACAUUCAGACAUAAAAGUAUGAAGAUUUUCAGCAUGGUAACGGCAGAGCGUGAAACCGAGCAGUGGGCCUGUGUGACCGCACAGUUUGCGCCCAUGAAGCUGACCCGGAGCUCAAUGUUUCUCAAGGGGGGUUCUCUGAUAUUUUGGAUGAAACAAUUCUUUAUUGUGCAGGAUAUUUAACAUCCCUGACCCCUGGGCACUACAUUCCACUGUGAUAAAAAUGCCCCCAUGUAUUUCUAAAUGCCCCCAAAGAGGGAGUUACUUCUCUCUACUGAACUCCUGGAGUGGACUCCGCUGUCUGCAGCUAGAAACCAUGAUCAUUACAGAUCUAGGAAAGGUCAUGUGCAAUUUUUGCUUUGGAUUCUCAAGCAGAGCAAAAUACAGAGUUGAGUUAAAAAGAUUUCAAAAUUCUCAUACCUGGGAGAGCAGAAUUAUGGUAAUCUUUUCUUUCCAUUGUCAGAAAAAUAAUACCAGCGACCUUGGUGAUGAAGCAAACAUUUGGGAAUGAAAAUUUAAAGGGGACCAGUGAGUUUUAUGUGUCACUUGCAUAUAAAUGGUAGUUGAUCUUUUCUAAGGGAAAUUUCUACUCAGUCCUUCAUACAGUGGCCUCUAUGAAACCAUGAUGGAAAAGAAACUCAUUUCCUCCCGGAAGGGAUUUGGAAGACCUAAGUAAGUAUGGCAAACUCUGGAGACAGUUGCCAUCAACUGUUCGCUCUCAAAAAGACUUCAUGCAGGUUUCCCCCAAUUUAUUCACAGCAGCCGUCUGGUUAUAAGAUAGGCAUAUAAAUAUGUAUUGCCUGAACGAUUAAUAAAAUAUUUUUUUACUAAAAGAAUGGAGUUUUAUGUCUCUUCUUAAAAAACUGAACAACAGUAAAAUUAAUCAUUGUGGUGAGAGCUGAAUUUCUCUGUUCUUAUGUUUUUAACCAGUUAAUCUACUCAGUCACAGGGAGAAACAAAACUUUCCAAAAAUAACUUUCAACUCUUCCACUUCCAUAAAUUAGCAGUAGUAGUUUUAAGGGAGAGACCAAUGAGCCUAUAAAUUAAAGAAGAUGUUUGAGAAACAAAAAGAAGCUUUCAGAAUAGAGUAAUAUUAGAGCUGAUGCUUGCGCUCUCUAGGACCCUCAUUUAAAUUACAUAUCCAGAACUAAUAUUGGGGCAUUUCCAAUGGAUUAUGCCUAGGCCAGAAGAAACCAAACCCAUAUAAUGAGUAAGGUUAGUUUAAGUUCUCAGUUUAAAUCAAAAUACAAAAUCUUAACAAGUAAGUGUCUGUAGACACUAUCUCAGGGUAGUUUUCCCUGGCCCCAAAGUCCCCACUGCACUUAAAUAUUCAUAGCUUAAAUCACACUCCAGGAGAACUUCCACCAAUAAUUGUUGUUAUUGACAGUGAACUCUCCUGGGUUUUGAUCCUCAUUUUACAUCCCCAUUCCAGGAGCCAUGAAAGACUAUUCACUGUCAGAUGUGUAGAUCACAGACCAACACUGUGUUUCCUUAUUUCAGUAAAAUGUCUCUCUAAUCUUAAAGGUUUGAAAUGCAUAGGAAAGAAAAUAUGAAAAAACCAUAAGAUAUAGGACAUUCAAUCCCACCCAAAGGCAGUUAUGAUUAACAUUUUAGUCCAUUUUUUCCCUAGAAAAUUUUUCAAUAAAUACUUUACAUAAUGGAAAUAAUCUCUUGGGUUCUUUUUUCCCUCUACAUUGAGGCAGAAACAUUCCCCAUGCAAAUGACAAUUCUUUGUAUACACUAUUCUAAUGGAUGAAGAAUACACUGUGUCAUGGACGUACAAUAGCUUUCAUUUUCCUAUUGUUGGCCAGUAACAGAAUGUUUCAAAUUUUAUGUUAAAAAUAUCACAGUGAUUAGCUCCGUUUUGGAUCCUACUCUUAACUUUGCCAGAACUUACUUUACUGUUUAUUAUUUGACAAGAGCAUCAGUUCCCCAUACAUGCUAUGUUCUUCCUCUCCAAAGAGGAGAGAGCUGUAUAUGAUUUUCUUUCUGCCUGGUUUGUUCUUCCACUCUCCACCUCUUUUGCCUAGUUAGUUUACUCUUUAAAUUUCAGGUCAAAGGUCACUUAUGGAGGGCUUCCCAAACUCUGUAUUUGAUUAUGUUUCUCUGUUACACACUCUAAUUGUACUGUGUUUUGUUUUGUUUUUUCAUGGCACUUACCUCUGGUUGCAGUAACCCAUUCAUUUGUAUAUUAUUUAAUUUUUGUUCACCCCCCCAACUAGAAUACUAUAGUCAUUAUCUGGAUAAGCAGUGAUAUAUAUAAUGCUGUUAUAAACACAGGCCAAUUAAUGUGACCUCAUGCGUAUCACUGAUAAAAUGGGUUAAAGCUUGAGGUUGAAGUUAGUCCAAAAAUACUUAGGUGCCAGUUAUUAUGCUAGGUGCUAGGAAUAUAGAAGUGAAAGUGACGGGCAUGAUUUCAGCCUUCAUUCUUAUAGUCUAGUGCAGGGUUUGGGAAUUUUUUCCUAUAAAGGGACAGAUAAAUUUUAGGCUUUUCAGGCCGUAUGGUCUCUACAAACUACUCAACUUUGCCACAGAAACACAAAAACAAUCAUGAAUCACACAUAUAUGGAAGAGUGAAUUCCAAUAAAACUGUAUUUAAAAAACAGGCAGUGGGGCUGGAUUUGAUCCGUGAGCUAUUGUUUACUGACCCCUGGUCUAGUGGAAAAGACAGCUAUUAAACAGAUCAUUUGAGAUGACCAAAUACUUCAAAAGAACAGGGUGCCAUUCUCACAUGGCAAAGCUGUCCAGCUUAGUCAAGAGAGAAGAAUAAAGACUUUCUUGAGGAAUAUGACUCAAGUUAAUAUUUAAGGAGGAAGAGGAGUUAUCUGGGUAAAAGUAAGGGUAACAAUAGGGACCUUCCUGUGUCAGUACAUGCUUAAAAAUAGAAGCAAGAUUUUUCAUAGAUUGUAAUGACACAAGUUUAGCUGUUUUCUCUUGGUCACCUGUAUUAAGCAUGUAUUUUACCCCUUCCAAGCAUUUUGUAUUGUUUUAACUUUUUGUUAACUUCUGGUUGAUAUGUAUAAAGUCCUAUGUUAGAUGCCAAGGGUGAUUCAAAAAAUGUAAGACCUAGCUCUGUGCUAAAGUAUUAUGUAAUUGACCAAUAAAUUGUAAGUUUCUUGACAUUUUGACAUUUCAUUUUUUUCCUUGCACAGUAUCACACAUAUGGCUGGUACUGCAGAAAUAAUUUUCCCCUGCCCUCUGCCUUGCACCAUUUGCUGACAAAAUGGUGUCCAAUAUAGCCACUUCUGUAUUACUUGGACAAAACUUGCUGCUCUCUGAAGCAGACAAUAUUCUGAAGUCAUCAGUAACAGUAAUUUCAGCUUGUUGAAGGUGGGGGUUGUUUGUAUAAAGGUCAGCCUGUCAGUAAAUAACAUGCCAACCUGUUCCUUCAAGAUCGUAAGAAACCUUUGUAUGUGUGUUUUUAUAUCUUUAAAAAAAAAAUUUUUAAAGAGUAGUGGGAAACUGUACCCAGUGGUCUCACCAGAUGUUUUCAAACCAGAACUAGGGCAGUUGAGUUGUAAUUUGUUUUUAAAACAUUUAUUUCCACAAAUUUAUGACAGCAGGGAACUGAGGUGUUUUUUUGUUUUUGUUUUUGUUUUUUUUUGUUUUUUUUUUUUGCCUAAACUAGCAAGUAAUUUCAUUUUUCAUUGGACUUUAGCAGACCUAGCCUUAGGAUGAAAAUAUGGGACUUCCCAGAUGAUCCACUGAGACUCUACUCUCCCGAUGCAGGGCCCUGGGUUCGAUUCCUGGUUGGGGAACCAGAUCCCACGUGCCAGCUAAGAUCAAAGACCACGCAUGCUGCUGCUAACACUUAGCACAACCAAAUAUUUUUUAAAAUGUGAAGCAGAGGUUCUUGCCAAGUUUAAAAAGUACAGCAAAGAUUAGUCUUAAGAAUGAGGGCAAACAUUACUCAUUUUUCUUAAGCUGCUGCUUCUGCAUUAAUGUGAACUGUUCUUAAACUGGAAACUUACAUAAAUAAGGGAGAAAGAUACCUUUCUAGAAUACCCAGUCCCCUGUACUAAGCAUAUCCAAGGUCUUUCAAAACUUAAUUUAUUAAUGACCAUGACACUUGGCUACAUCUUCCUGUUUAUCUACAUUCCUGCCCUCAUCCUGAGUACAUGCAUCACCCAAAGAGACAGCUUCCUAGCACCAGCCUCAGAGUUCCUUGAUGUGAUCUUCAGCCUCUUGCUUCUGUUGCCACAUCGAGAAUCUGGUCAUAUACCCACUGUGUUUCACCUCUGGGAAAACACCAGUUUAACCAGGUGUCUGCUCCCAGGUUGCUGAGUGCCCCCAGAGAGAAAAAAAUAACUGCUGUGCAUAUUGGCAGUUCAGUUCAGUCGCUCAGUCAUGUCUGACUCUGCGAUCCCAUGGACUGCAGCACACCAGGCUUCCCUGUCAGUCAUCAACUCCCAGAGCUUGUUCAAACUCAUGUCCAUCGAGUUGGUGAUGUCAUCCAACCAUCUCAUCCUCUGUCGUCCCCUUCUCCUCCUGCCUUCAAUCUUUCCCAGCAUCAGGGUCUUUUCCAGUCAGUUCUUCGUAUCAGGUGGCCAAAGUAUUGGAGUUUCAGCUUCAGCAUCAGUCCUUCCAAUGAAUAUUUAGGACUGAUUUCCUUUAGGAUUGACUGGUUUGAUCUUGCGAUCCAAGGGACUCUCAAGAGUCUUCUCCAGCACCACAAUUCAAAAGCGUCAGUUCUUCGGUGCUCAGCCUUCUUUAUAUGUUCAACUCUCACAUCCAUACAUGACUACUGAAGAAACCAUAGCUUUGACUAGACAGACUUUUGUCAGUGCAAUAAAUUCACCUUUGUUGGUAACGCUAAAUUGUUAGUUUGUCGGUAACACUAAAUUCAGGACCUCCAAUCCCGGCUGGAUCAUUCUCUAUCCAUACUAUUGGGAAGAGAAAGUUUUCUUUAUAAUGUAUUAGACUUUACUCAUCUGAACUGCAUGCUUCAUAAACCAAGAUACAAUGUUAUAAAAUUCUUUGUAUACCCAAAAGUAGUAUUAGGCUGAAUCAUUUCAAUUACAUUAACCUCUCUCUGAUUCUCUAAUUUAGCUUUUGUGCUCACUUUCCUGUUUUAUGUUAUAUCAAUAGUUUGGGGUCUUGUCUAUCCAAUAAGGUAAAUUUUUAAUGUUUUUAAAAUUAAUAUUUGAAUAGUCAAAAAGAACAGUCUCAAACAUUAUGGAAUGAAAUGAUAAUGGAAGGGAAAUCACUACUACGAUACUUAGCCUUUUAGAGGCAAAUCCAACUAGUCUCCAGUUGUAACUUGGGGCCAGAGGCCUACGGCUCAGCUCACUUGAUUCAUUUCAUUCUUACCUUUCCCAGCUUCCCCUUUCCAUCAUUUCUGAUCCCACAGAUCGCUAAGAACACACUUCCUUUCCCCCCUGAAGUAGCAGGGAAAGCAGUGCUGCAUGGAUGGACAACAGCAGUGUGUAUGUUUGUACAUGUUUAUUGAGUGGCAGCAUAGUUAAGAAUUCACACUCUACAGCCCAGCUUCCCUGGGUCCCUGCUCUGUGAUUUUGGGUGGAUUACUUUCUGUACCUCAGUUCUCCCAUCCAUGAUACACAGAUGAUAAUACUAAGUUCCUACCUCACAGAGCGGUUGUGAGGAUUGAAUGGUUGUUUUAGUUACUAAGUUGUAUCCGAUUGUUUUGCAACCCCAUAGAUGGAGCCCACCAAGCCCCUUUGUCCAUGGGAUUUUCCAGGCAAGAAUACUGGAGUGGGUUGCUCUGCCUUUCUCCGGGGGAAUCUUCCUGACCCAGGCAUUGAACCUGUGUCUCUUACAUUGGCAGAAGGUUGAAUUAUGUGCUUUAAAUGAGUUAAUACCUUAGAACUGGUAAGCACCCAGUAACUGUAAGCUAUUAUUCAUAACUUAGAAUAAUAAAUUAUUAUUCAUUGGGAGGACUGAUGCUGAAGCUGAAGCUCCAAUACUUUGGCCACCUGAUGUGAAGAGCCAACUCACAGGAAAAAACCUUGAUGUUGGGAAAGAUGGAGGGCAGGAAGAGAAGAGGGCGACAGAGGAAAUGAUAAAUGGCUGCCAGCCCAACUUCUGAUUCUUAAGCCACUCCAUUCUACCAACAAACCACUCCUUUUGAUUUGAUAACUCCUGGCAACCUGCAUUUUGACAACCCUACUUUGGAUGAAUUUUCAAUAAAGCCAUGGUGACCAUGCUUGGGGAUUUUCAUAGUUUGAGUAAUUCCCCGGAGCUCUGCCACCCAGCAAGUUAGAGGACAAGAUUCCUCCCUGGGGAUUGUAGUUCUUGGAAUGUCAGCAGCUUGUUUUCAUGAGGUCUGCACCCUGACCUGGCCUCCUGUUAGGAGCUGUCGUGUUGGUGGUUUAUGUUGUUUUUAGUUGUUUCUUCCAUCUUAUACAGUUAUUUGUAUAUAAGGAUUUUUGAAAAGUAAAUGUCUUAUGGGACUGUUUUGCGUCUACAAAGAAAAAUUAAAACUGUUUCAAAGUAA